CCCAUAUAGAAUGAUUCGUGGCGGUUACAACCAAUGUCGCCCGGUGAUUUACGAAGAGUGACUCGCGAUAAGGCCGUUAGUUAGACUCCUUGCGUAGAAGACUAUGGCAGUUUCUUAACUGUUGGGAAGAUUUUUAGCGGCUGUUGAAACCGCCGACCAUGCAUUUUCCCGUGUUCGAGAAUUUCCAGCCUAAUCGAUGGAACCACCAGCUAUUUGUUCCAUCGUUAUAGAUAGCUCCAGUACUCCCUCACUUGAAUUUGGCCAGCUGUGUUGUGGUUGUUCAUUGAUGCCUGAACCCUAGAAGGGGAAGCUAUGAUCUAUGGCUGUGAAGUGUUGUCCGGGAUAGGAUAUAUUUCCUUCCAUUAUCCACCUCUGCCAACAGCUGGUAUGAUUAGUUGGUUGAUUUGACUUCCCAGCAUUGCCAAACCUCCAUUCGUUAGUAUAAAUGCAGCUAACAGGUAACAUGAUGUUCAUAUACUCCUGCUACCAAGUCGUGGUCUGUUUACAUUGCUGAGUGUUCCUUCAUAUUCUGUUGCUUUGAUCAGUUAAUCUUCGUAAUCUGAAUGAGAGAUAUGAGUGGGAAUGUGUAUUGCAUAAGGAUUCUGUGACCUGGGAAAAAUGCUUGUAUAAUCAAUGCUUGAGGAGGGACUGUCUUAACUUGAUACCUCACAAAAAUUCUCAUUCGCUAAGAUGUGGCUUCUAGCAGCCCAAUUUGAAAUACGUCAACUGAAUCUCAAGGAUGCUCGUGUAAUAUUAGGAAAUGCUAUUGGAAAGGCUCCUAAAGAUAAGUUAGUUCUCAUCGGCAAACACUUAUUAAUGCUUCUCAAUUGAGCAUCAAAAACUACUGACAUUGUGCUAUUGUUAUACUAAACAUGUUGGUUUCAAUUUAAAAUGGAGGUUUUUGAUGGGCAAGAUAGUGUUGUCUUCUUGCUAUUUGAUCUUGAGGCAUAGACCUCUUCUUGCUAUUUGAUCUUGAGGCAUGUGAAGAGCUUCUGAACACUAUUGAAAUUGAGAAGAAAGUCAUUCCUAAUGGUGAUUACCCAGAUGACAUUGAAGAAUGCCUAGCUGGCAAAGAAAUGCUAUUCAAAGUGUGCAACAAUUCUGGAGUUAAGCAUGAUCGAGAUGAUUGCUUCCAAAUUCUAAGGAUAUGUACUGACCUUGGUAUCAUUGCAAUGUUCCAUGAACAUGAUGUCUUAGUUACUCCCAAACAGGCAAAGUUCUCUCCCCCCUUUAGUGAGCUGGACAUAACUGAAGAGGAUGGUGAGAUUAGCCUUAAUCUGACUGGUGAUAAAAGUGCUUUAGCUGGUAGCAAUGCAAAGGACAAAGGACCUCACCAUUUGCGCAUGAAAUUGCUGAUAGACUUUGAAUCAGAUGAAGAAGAUGAUGCUGGAUUUACUGGUAGGGAUGAUGGUACUUUUGCAAAGAUCAGUCCUCUCUCUGAUAUGGCCUGUGAUGCUAAUGGGGAGGGUAAUAUGCCAGAUGCCAUUCAGUCUCAAACCGAUGCUAGAGGCACUGUGAAUUCUGCAGUAGAGACUGACAUAACUUUCUGGUGUGGUUCAUGAACCUAAACCACCUAUGU